UUUAGAAGUUGAAUACCUUUCAGAGCGUGAGCGUUACAGAUUUUUUUUAGCAUUUAUUCAAAAAGUUAAACAGCAAGUGUGGGAAUGGAUGAUACAGGAUUUCAAUUGUUUCUUUUUAGGACUGUACGUCAUGUGUAUGAGCUGAUUUUGUAAUCUUAAUUUGUUACUAACCACGAUGUAACUAGAAACAGGAUUUACUGUGGUAUUUAUACAUGGUGAUCAGCAAACAGAAUUUUUUCCCUGCGAUUAAAUAUACUGAGUUCUUACAUCAUUUACUGCUUAAUAAUAACUUUCAAUAUCUUACCAAAAGAAUCGGUUGCAAAUUCAGAAAUAAUCUGACGUAAUAUUACCACAAACUAUGAUAAUGUGAGUUAGCAUGUAUUUUUGAGGUAUUAAAUCUUAAUUAUUAUUAUUGCAAUUCACACGGCGCCGCACUUCCUCCUCUAAAAGCCAUGAUUAGGAGGGACAGAUCAAAAAUCUUGGCUAAAAGUCAGAACAGUUGAAAGCUGAGGCAGAUGAAUGGGACUCUGAGGCAUAUGGUGGACAGCCACUUCGAUGAGUUUCUGUAGGGUGAAAAUACAGCAAACAGGAUGAAGAUUUGUUCCUGUGCCUACGGACAUAUUAAAGAGUAUCAGGAUUCGCAUGAACUGGAACUGGGUGACCGGAAUCAUAGCGUGUAACAGGUGCACAUGUUACCUUUACCGAUGUAGUGAUUGUUGGAGUUUUAUUUACGGUGAUUUAAUACAGUGCAUCUCUGUUUCAAGAUUUUAUGUUGCUUUAACUGCUGAUUGUCUUUGGUUCUGUUGAUUGUCAUCGUUUCUGUGACAUGUGAUGUAAUAAACUGCAUGUCUUUCACGAUA